UAUGCAGACGCAGACCGUUACGAUUGACUGACACACACACACAUUGUUCAAAUCAUACGCUGGACGCUUUAUUAGUCUUUCUACAUGGGUUUAGUUAAUGAUCGGGCUGUAAUAAGACCACAUCGGCUAUGUAAUCGCUGACAACCGGGACAAUUUCAUAGUGGUUGCUGUAAACCGGGACAUUUUAGCGUCCCGACAGGUUUUUGUCGGGACUCGGGACACGCAACUCAAAAUCGGGACUGUCCCGGUAAAACCGGGACGUCUGGUCACCCUAUGUUAGCUUCAGUAUGUGCUAGGUGUUUGCUUCAGUAUGUGCUAGGUGUUAGCAUCAGUAUGUGCUAGGUGUUAGCAUCAGUAUGUGCUAGGUGUUAACAUCAGUAGAUGCUAGGUGUUAGCAUCAGUAUGUGAUAUGUGUUAGCAUUAGUAUGUGCUAGGUGUUGUUAGGCCUCUUGCUCUGCUGAGCUAGAGAAGAGCAUGAACUAGCUACCUAGCUUGCCUCCACGCCUAGCCAGCUUCCAAUGUUUGUGCCUUGAUCGACUGUUGGCGGGUA
ensembl:lncRNA